rnacentral:rRNA from 1 species
CGUAGGGUGCAAGCGUUAAUCGGAAUUACUGGGCGUAAAGCGUGCGCAGGCGGUUAUGUAAGACAGGUGUGAAAUCCCCGGGCUUAACCUGGGAACUGCAUUUGUGACUGCAUAGCUAGAGUACGGUAGAGGGGGAUGGAAUUCCGCGUGUAGCAGUGAAAUGCGUAGAUAUGCGGAGGAACACCGAUGGCGAAGGCAAUCCCCUGGACCUGUACUGACGCUCAUGCACGAAAGCGUGGGGAGCAAACAGGAUUAGAUACCCUGGUAGUCCACGCCCUAAACGAUGUCAACUGGUUGUUGGGUCUUCACUGACUCAGUAACGAAGCUGACGCAUGAGGUUGACCGCCUGGGGAGUACGGCCGCAAGGUUG